AACGCACAUUGCGCCCCUUGGUAUUCCGGGGGGCAUGCCUGUUCGAGCGUCAUUUCAACCCUCAAGCACUGCUUGGUCUUGGGCCCUGCCGGCAACGGCUGGCCUUAAAAUCAGUGGCGGCGCCAUCGAGCUCUACGCGUAGUAAUUCUACCCUCGCGUGUGAGUCCCGGUGGAUGCUGGCCAGCAACCCCCAAUCUUUUUAUGGUUGACCUCGAAUCAGGUAGGGAUACCCGCUGAACUUAA
rnacentral:misc_RNA from 3 species